GGUCGGGCGAAGUUAGUACUUGGAUGGGUGACCGCCUGGGAAUACUUCGUGUUGUAGACU
rnacentral:rRNA from 1 species